rnacentral:rRNA from 1 species
UAGGGAAUCUUCCACAAUGGACGCAAGUCUGAUGGAGCAACGCCGCGUGAGUGAAGAAGGUUUUCGGACCGUAAAGCUCUGUUGUUGGUGAAGAAGGAUAGAGGUAGUAACUGGCCUUUAUUUGACGGUAAUCAACCAGAAAGUCACGGCUAACUACGUGCCAGCAGCCGCGGUAAUACGUAGGUGGCAAGCGUUGUCCGGAUUUAUUGGGCGUAAAGCGAGCGCAGGCGGAAGAAUAAGUCUGAUGUGAAAGCCCCUCGGCUUAACCGAGGAAUUGCAUCGGAAACUGUUUUCUUGAGUGCAGAAGAGGAGAGUAGAACUCCAUGUGUAGCGGUGGAAUGCGUAGAUAUAUGGAAGAAUACCAGUGGCGAAGGCGGCUCUCUGGUCUGCAACUGACGCUGAGGCUCGAAAGCAUGGGUAGCGAACAGGAUUAGAUACCCUGGUAGUCCAUGCCGUAAACGAUGAGUGCUAAGUGUUGGGAGGCUUCCGCCUCUCAGUGCUGCAGCUAACGCAUUAAGCACUCCGCCUGGGGGAGUACGACCGCAAGGUUGAAAC